CCUGUCUCCAGCAGCCACAUAAGCACCAUGAAGAGGCUGCUGUGCUGUCUGCUGGGGCUUCUGUGCACCCAGGUUUGCUGGGUGAAAGGGCAGCAAAUACAGCAGAGUCCCGUGUCCUUGGUUCUGCAGGAGGGAGAGAAUGCAGAGAUGCAGUGUAACUUUUCCUCCAUAGCAACCCAGCUGCAGUGGUUUUACCAACGUCCUGGGGGAAGUCUCAUCAGCCUGUUCUACAAUCCUUCUGGGACAAAGCAGAGUGGAAGACUGACAUCCACCACAGUCAGUAAAGAAUUUCGAGGCUCUUUGCACAUUUCCUCCUCCCAGGCCACAGACUCAGGCACUUAUUUCUGUGCUAUAGAGCCACAGCACUCCCUACACACCUGCAGCCUGUACACAAACCUAGCGGGUGAAAGAACUUAUUAA